AGACCGAUAGCGAACAAGUACCGUGAGGAAAGAGAAAAGAACUUUGAAAAGAGAGUUAAACAGUAUGUGAAAUUGUUAAAAGGGAACCGUUUGGAGCCAGACUGGCUUAAUCGUAAUCACUCUAGGCUUUGGCCUGGAUGCACUUGCGGUUUAUGCCGGCCAACGACAGUUUUGUUUGAGGGAAAAAAUUACAUUGAAUGUGGCCCCUCGGGGUGUUAUAGCUUUGUAAAAAAUACCUUGAACGGGACUGAGGAACGCAGCGAAUGCCUUUAGGCGAGAUUGCUGGGUGCUUGCGCUGAUACAUGCUAGAAUUUCUGCUUCGGGUGGUGCUAGUGUGUAAAGGAGUAACCCGCCUAGUAUAUUUUUUAUUCGCUUAGGUUGUUGGCUUAAUGACUCUAAAUGACCCGUCUUGAAACACGGACCAAG
rnacentral:rRNA from 1 species